ACAGCUAUAUCAUGUUGAAACAAUAGUUCCCAUCUGAUGACUGAAGUUAAGCAACAUUGACCCUGGUCAGUAUCUAGAAGGGUGACCACUUGGGAAUACCAGGUGGUGUAA